rnacentral:rRNA from 1 species
ACUGGUUAAGGAACUCUGCAAAUUGGCCCCGUAAGUUCGCGAUAAGGGGUGCCUCUGGGGGUGUUAAAGCUCCUGGGGGUCACAGUAAAUCGGCUUCAGCGACUGUUUAUCAAAAACACAGGACUCUGCGAACUCGUAAGAGGAUGUAUAGAGUCUGACGCCUGCCCGGUGCCGGUAGGUUAAGGAAGAGGGUUAGCCGCAAGGCGAAGCUCGCGACCGAAGCCCCGGUAAACGGCGGCCGUAACUAUGACGGUCCUAAGGUAGCGAAGUUCCUUGUCGGGUAAGUUCCGACCUGCAUGAAUGGCGUAACGACUGAAGCACUGUCUCAACCAGUGACCCGGUGAAAUUGUAGCCGUGGUGAAGAUGCCACGUUCCCGCAGCGAGACGGAAAGACCCCGUGAACCUUCACUGUAGGCUGAUAUUGGGCUGUGGUAUGUCUUGUGUAGGAUAGGUGGGAGGCGUCGAUCUGGGCACGCAAGUGUUCAGGGAGCCAACCUUGAAAUACCACCCUGGACCUGCUUUAGUUCUAACUCUGAUCCCGUGAAUCCGGGCAGAGGACAGUGUCAGUUGGGCAGUUUGACUGGGGCGGUCUCCUCCGAAAGAGUAACGGAGGAGUCCAAAGGUACCCUCAGCCUGGUUGGCAAUCAGGCUUCGAGCGCAAAGGUAUAAGGGUGCUUAACUGCGAGACUUAUCAGUCGAGCAGAUACGAAAGUAGGGCUUAGUGAUCCGGCGGUGCUGGAUGGAAAGGCCGUCGCUCAUCAGAUAAAAGGUACUCCGGGGAUAACAGGCUUAUCGCUUCCGAGCGUCCAUAGCGGCGAAGCGGUUUGGCACCUCGAUGUCGGCUCAUCACAUCCUGGGGGUGGAGAAGCUCCCAAGGGUUUGGCUGUUCGCCAAUGAAAGUGGUACGUGAGCUGGGUUCAGACCGUCGUGAGACAGGUCGGUCCCUAUCUGCUGUGGGCGCACGAAACUUGCGGAGAAUCUUCCUUAGUACGAGAGGAUUGGGAAGGACGUUCCUCUGGUGUCCCAGUUGUCGCGCUAGCGGCACGGCUGGAUAGCUAAGAACGGAACGGAUAAACGCUGAAAGCAUAUAAGCGUGAAGCCCGCUCCAAGAUAAGGUUUCGUUGGACAAUAGUCCGAAAGUCCCCUGGAAGACGACCAGGUCAAUAGGCCGGAUGUGUACGUGGGGUUAACCCAUUUAGCUAACCGGUACUAACGGACGAACGCUUGACCG